AGGGGCUUUACCAUCACGAGAAUUUAGGGCAUCCUUUAUUCAUAAGCAGAGGAACCAUUCAGGGUAUAUUCAAUCUUAAAGUAAAGUUAAUAUGGCCACCAGAUGAUGGCAUUUUCAGACUCUGCUUUUCAUCAUUAGAAGGAAAACAAUAUGUUUUGAGGGAUUUGGUGCUGCCCUUGAAAGAAUGAAUAUCAUGUUGUAAAGAGCAUUAUCUGUGUUGCUUUCAUCUUUAUUUUAAAUAUGGAGGGUCCCCAUCAACAAGGGAGGAUUGAGUUUUGGUUUUUUGUUUUUCAUGGUUCUCUGGGAAGAAUCUUGGGAGGGAGGGAUCUCAUGAGAUCAUUUAUCUAGUAUAAUGGUGUCAGGAAAAGGUAAAGCAUGAAGAACUAGAGAUUGAGUAUGUAGUGGUUCUCACUGAAGGAGUAGUAGAUAUAAAGGGAAAAUCAACUGUUGGCCAAAGAAAAUAUUUGUUCUAAUGGGGUUUCAGUUCUUUAAAGUGAAGAGUAUCAGAGCUAAAAAAAAAAAAAAAAAAGAAAGGCUUCCUUUAGACCUCUCUGAAAACUCCUGCUUGCCAGGAGUUCCCUAUACUUUCUAUAGUGGCAGUCAGACUAUUGGAAGAAUAGUACAAUAGAAGAAUUGUAACUGGGUGGCAAGAGAGAUAGGGUAUCCUUGGGACUGGGUGCUUCUACAUAAUUAUUGGUGAAGAGAGCUAUUAGCUUUUCCCAUUCUACUUGUUAUUUGGUUCAAUACAGUAUAUUGAGGUAGAUGUUCAAUGUUUGUUUAUUCAAUCCAAUACACAGUGACCUACUAUGUGCAAGGCACUGUGCUGAGGAUACAAAACAAAAAUGAGGAAAAAAUUCUUGUCAAUCAGACAGAUGGCCAAAGUGAUAUACUCCUUUGAUGGGGAUAGGGAGGGAGAGAAAGAAAAGUAAAUUCCUUCCUGAGUAUGUUAUCUGUUUUUUCAGUAUGUGUUCUCAAUGUGCCAUGAAAACAAUCUCUGUUCUUGGAGGAAAUCUAAGGGAAAAAAGAGAGAGAAAUGGAAAGAUUAAAAGUUGGCUGCAGGGAAAAGGGAAGAGAAGUGUGGGGUGGAAGACUAUAAAAUACUCAUAAGGACAAACAAUAGACCAAAAACAAACAAACCCCAGCAAUAAUGACUCGGGUAUGGGUAAGGAGGCGUAAUAACUUAUUUCUUUUGCAUUGUGGCAAGUCAAAAUGAAGGCUGGGAAAGAACACAGGAUUUAAAAUCCUAGGGUCUUGGUUUCAAUUCUUCCUCUGCUAGUUGUGACUUUUAUGAACUUGGGAAAAUAACCUCAUUGUGUCUCAGUUUCUUCAUCUAUCCAAAGAUGAAAUUGGACCAGUUGACCCUCUAUAAUUCCUUCCAGCAGGAUCAUCUCCAGUCAUCUUGAUCUAUAUCUUGCCACUGGACCCAGAUGGUUCUGGAAGGGAAAGUGAGACAGGUUAUCUCGCACAGCCCUCCCUCACUCAAAUCUAAUUCACUUGUAUGUCACAGCACCACCUCCUUAAUAUCAUGAUCCUCUUUGAGAACAAAGGACAAACAACAACUUCUGUAUUAUCAUACAUAUACAGCAAAUGGAUAGGACCAAAGUCAUCAUGAUCUCCUAAGUGAAUUAUAACCACUACCUAUACUUAGUUUUUGCUCACCUUUAGGUUUUAUUGUCACAGGCUGGACUUGGUGAAUAGUUGAUUUUUUUUUUUCUUUCUAGCCUGGAGAUAAGAAAAGUGAUAGCAUUUCUUGGAAGCAAAUCAUGGGGAGGGCCAGAUUCAGCCCAUGAAGAGGUAUCCAGGCUUAUUCUUCUCUAGAAGUCCAAUAGUGACACAAAAAGAGAUGCUCAAAGGGAAAGUUGGAGAUUUCACCAGUGUACAUUUUAUUGAAAGCCAAAUAAGCAGCCUAUUAUCAAUCAUCUUCCUGUCACCUCUGGAAAAGUUACUAGGACACAUAGGUCUUGAAAUCCUUAAGUUUCUACUUAUCUCCUUUUCCUGUGCCCCACAAUUCAAAGCAUGUCUCGGUACUUUUUCUCUAUGGCUCUAUUUCUCAAAGGAAAUGGACUUUACAUUUCAUGACAGAAGAGGGCAGGCAAGGGCUUUAUUUUGUUCAUUUUUUCUCAUUUAAAGAAAUAACAGUUUGACAUUGGAACGGCAACAGGAUGGUACUACUUUGCCUUGUGAAAAAACCGCCUAUUCUAUAGUUGUAUAUGUCAAAUAGGUCUCUUUUUUAUACUGACCACACUGAAGCAUGCAAAUCUGCAACUUCUACCCAAUGGUUCUUAGUCUGCCUUCCAACACUACGCAAAAUGUCUAAUCCUCUUUCUGUGAUGAUACUCUUUCAUAUACACUUAAAAACAGUUUUAGUACCUCUACUCCCACCCUCUUACCCUUUUCUUUUCCAAGAAAAACAUCCUUUAUUCCUUUACCAGAAUGCAAAGGACAAAAAGGAAAAACAUGAUUUCUGGUAUUCUCAUCUUCCUGGUUAUUAUCCUUCAGAUUCCCUUCAUCUUGUCAAUGUUACUCUUGGUGAUGGCUCCCAAAAUGGACUAAACAUCAAACUUCAGAUAGGAGGUGGGGAAAUAUAUCAUACUAGGGGGAAGAACACAGUGAGAAUGGCUCCUGGACUCUAUGGAUCCUUUCCUGAAAGUAAAUGAAGAUUAGUUUUUCUAACGUCCUUAAGAAUGAAAGAUCAUUUUACUGGCCUAUAAUUGGAAGAUUUCAUUCAUUUUCUUAAUCAUUUCAAAGACUGAUAUAAGUGGAAUGUGUGUAUAAAUGUAUAGUGAUACUCAACUUUUUUAUCUCUUUCUCUGAGAUUAUAAUUUUUUAGAGAUCCACAAGAGUUGCUUUUGAAGCAUUUGAAGAAUGUUUCUGAAGAUACACAUUUCAUCUGGAGCCUGAAGAUUUAAAUCCCUUGGGUUGUAUAAUGGGGAGCUUGUGGUAGAGGAUGUUUCUGCUCAGCAUUUGUCUUUCAUAUUUUCUCUGUUUUAGCUUCCUUUAUAAAAAUAAUUCUUUUCUGUUAUGGUGUUUGCCUUUUUUUCCAUUAAGCCUAUUAUAAUGAUCAAUCUUUUGGAUUAACUUAGAAGGAAAAACUGUUCACUAGUUCUUUCUUAUGUCAACUGUCAUUUUGCCUAUUUUGACUCUUGGUCUUCUUUCCAUUUCAAUAAUUCAGCAAACAUCAAUUAAGCUACUACAAUGUAGAAGAUACCACACAAGAUUCUGGAGAUAUGAUUAUUUUACUUUUCUGAUCUUCCCUUCAGCAUUGCACCAAAUGCUGCCUGUACCAUCCUGGGUAUCUAUUGUAAGCCUCUGCCUGUUCUGGAGCCAUUAAAGAUCUGGGUUUUUUUCUGAAAGAUUUACCCCUCCUCUUAUGUCCUUGGUUAUACUCCCUACACUGUCCCUCAUCCCUAUCUUCACUGAUGGUUUUGCCUGAAUAAGGUCUUCUUUUAAAAUGUCACGAUUUGGGGAAGAAUGUUUCCUCCAAAGCUGGUACUGCUACAAAACUUGCUCUCUGUUUGUGGUUUGUGGUAUGGAGAGAAAAGGAAAGGAGUUAGCUCCUGCUAAUGGGAUAAAGAGAGGGGUUUGCUAUACAAAGAGAGGGGAUUUUCUGUAUUUGGUUGAAGAGAGGAAAUGAGGAUGAGAAUUGGUAGAGUGGGUAGAGAAGGAUAUGUUUGGAAGGGUUUGAAUAUCCUGUGGAUAUUGUACAGAAAAAAAAACUGCUGCUUUCUGCUACACACACACACACACACACACACACACACACACACACACACAUAUUUACUACUUUUCUGUGAAGAGAGAUUAAAAACAUAUGGCUACUAUGUGAUAUCUCUUCUUAGGGAUUAGGAAAGAGUAUCAAUGUGAGUGUGGUUAAAAAAGAUAGUGAGAAAACAUGAGGUUUGGGAAAUUUUGGAUUAGAAUUGAGACAUAGUUUCCCUUUCCCUCUUUUCUCAAUUAUUAUACAUAUCAGUCCAUUAUAGUGAAACAGAGUAAGAUUGGGAAUAAAUGAAUUAGGUCCUAAAUAGGAGAAGAAUAAAAAUGUACAUUAGCCCCGCCAUCUGAACUAUUGCUUAGGGAUGGCAAAUAGUAAAAAUGACAUGAGAGAAAGAGAACCAUACUUCUCACACACUAAGACUGAAAAAAUUAGCAGAGCUGCUUCCCUCAGAUUUGGGAAGGGGGUUACUGGAACAAAUGAAGACUGAAUUGGCUAAUAGUUGUGAUGCUGUUUUUUUUUUCCUUUUGACUCUAGGAUACCCCAAAUGUUCCUUGCCUUUUAGAAAUAAUAGAAAGGAUUGUAUGUGAGAAAUACACCUAUUAUAUAUUUAAGAGAAAAUGUAAUUGAAUUUAUCUCAGUGGAGAAUCUACAGCAUUCCCUUUGUCCUUUUGUCAUGUUUCCCUGCCUACUUUUCCCAAACAAAGAGACAAUUAGCCUUAGUUUGCCAACCUUAUCGAUAUAUAUGAAAAAAGGAGGUUCCUCCUCCUCCUAUUUUUCUUUAGAAAGACAGCCAGUACAUUUCAACCUCUCCACCCUAUGCUGCAUACCAAAAGGAGCAGGGGAUAGCUUCAGAGAAAAUGUGUUAAAAUGAUAUCUAAUUUACCAUAUCUACAGUCAUUCUCUCUCUCCCACACAUGCAACUGGAUAGAAAUUAUUUGUCUUUCCUUUGUGUUUGAAAGCACAUUUAUUUUGAAAAUAUAAUUGUCACUAAAGAUGGAUCAAUAGAGAGACAGAGGUCUACUUUUAUUUAAUACACACCCCCAAUAUCAUAAAUUGUAUUAUUCCAUGACUUUGUAUGUCAAGAUCUGUGUAUUUGGACAAUAUUUGUGGUAAAUUACACACAUAUCCCCCAUCAUGAUUGUGGCGAUGUUUCUCUCCCUUCCCAUCCAUGUAUCUGUCUUCAUGAUUAAUGAUAUUCAUGUCAAUCAACUGAUUCUAACUCAGCUCUACACCCACACAACACAUUUCUCUCAACCCUCCCUGUCCCACCCCCAUGUAUUCCAAUGUGAUAGAAUCAUUAGUUAGAUAAAACUAAAUAAAAAUGUCUUUUGGAUUUAGACAUGGGGGGCAGGGAAUAAAAGGGAGAAAAAAUUGCAUGUGUCAAAUGAAGGGAAAACAUACCAAUUAAUUCUCUAGGUGGAGGAACAACAUAAAAAGACACUUAUUUGUCAUUUUUUAAAUAACUAUAACUUUUAGUAGAUAGAUGUACAUGAGUCCCUCUAGAAAUAUUCACAUGCUCUAUUCAGUUUCCUCUCUCUGUUCCUACCCCUCACUUUAAUUCAAGGCAGAUCAGAUGAUGGACUAGGGAACCUAUCUUCUAUUGCCUAUCUUCAAAGAAGAAAAAAAGUGAAAAAUAAAUGACAUAUUCUGUAUGUAUAUAUGUGUGGUGAGGAAGGAGAUGGCCCAGCACAGUGACUAUGUAGAAAGAGAGAAAAAAUAAAUGCAUUUCUAUAGCUAAACCCAAAAGCAAGAAUAAUAGAGAGUGAUAUGGGCUAUAGUUUGGGUCUAUGCCUUCAUAAUCUUGUCCAACUCACAAAGAAGGUAUGUGUUCAGAUGAUAGGAAAUUGGGGAGGCAGUUGAGAUGGUUCGGAAUUUCCAAGAAUGGAGGAUAGAACCAAGGUCUCCAGAGAAGAAAAAAAAAUCUGUACUUCUACCUACCUGCCUGUCAAAUUGUUCAGAGAAUAAGGUUUGUACCCUGCCUCCCACCAGCACCUCAUAUUAUUUCCAUAUUCAUUCUCCCAAUACUCCAUAUUGCCAUGAACUUAUCCAUUACUAGUCUGAGUGUGUUAACAUACUGCCCGCUCUUUUCCCCCAUAACCCUUGUUAGAAAUGGACUUUCCUUUCAUUUGUUGAAACAGACUGGGACAAAAUUUGCCCCCAUCAACCCCCUCACACACACUCUAGAAACACUAAAACCCAAAUCCCCAAGCAUAAAAGGGUCUUUCAAAUUCCAGGUUUUUCCAAAUCAUGUAGCACUCUAUCAUCUAGAAAAACGGCACCAAACUAUUCUUCUUUUGCCAAUCUAGGAGAGAUUCCUUCUCAUUCCAGCUCCCUUUGGGACCCUCUAUCACUGUGUGUGUGUGCGCGCGCAUGUGUAUAUGUAUGUGUGUAUGUAUGUGUGUGUGUCCUGGAAAAAUAAAACAAAUCAACCCUACAAAUUAAUGGUGUGUCCCUCACAGAGAUGACAUCUCCUCAUCUUCUUCAUCAUCACCCUUAUCCUUGCACAUACUCUAUGCAAAUUUUUUAUAAGCAUUGCAAUAAAUGCUCUGAAAUGACAAGGAACUAUUUUACCUUUCCUAUGACUACUACUACUCUCUCUUUCUGUAUACAGAAACUUUGUAUUCUUCAAAAGGAUGAAUUUCAACUGCAGUCUUGUACAAAAUUAUCUUAAUAAAAAAGUCAUGAUUGUUA
ensembl:lncRNA